UAUACACAGGCAAAUUAGCAGCAACACAAUGGCGUACUCGAUUUGGUCGUCUAUCCAAAGUACCAGCUUUGGGUGAAGUGGAUCCAACAGGAUCAUUUUGUGCCUUUCCUGAUAAUUGGUUGAAAAUGAAAGCCGCCGAAAAAGCUGUUAGUCCUUCGAGUGCGGAUUUAUGGAAAAUUUUCUUUGUGAAUGCUGUGCCAUUUGUUGCGUUUGGUUUUCUGGAUAAUUUCACUAUGAUUAUUGCUGUAAGUUGGUCGCAAAAAAUAAAUACAAGUAAAAAA